rnacentral:lncRNA from 1 species
CAGCUCUCCGCACUCUCUGCCUGCCUCUCUCUGCCUUUGUCUACCUGUCUCUGUGUCUCUCCCCAUCUCUCUCUAGAGUCCAGGACCUCCGCCUCCCCUCUUUUUCCUUCCCUCUCCCUAGUUCUAGGGUCCUAAUAGGAUGACCUCACACAAUAUUCCUGAGAGGGCCCCAUCCUCUGUUCAGCUGAGCACAGCAGAGGUAGGCAAGGGCACGCAGAAGGGAGAAGAUGUGAAGUGGAGGCCCUGAACCCAGAGCAGGCGGCUGCAGCU